UUUAUUACGACGUUCGGCCGCGAGACCGGCCUUUUUCAAGCUUCUAAUACAAAUACCAUUUGUAUUAGAAGCUUGAAAAAGGCCGGUCUCGCGGCCGAAACGUCGU
rnacentral:pre_miRNA from 1 species